GCGGGGUGCAGUGGGGCAUGCCUGUAGUCCCAGCUACUCGGGAGGCUGAGGUGAGAGGAUCGCUUGAGUCCAGGAGUUCUGGGCUGUAGUGCACUAUGCUGAUCGGGCGUCCGCACUAAGUUUGGCAACAAUAUGGUGACCUCCCAGGAGUGGGGGACCACCAGGUUGCCUAAGGAGGAGUGAACUGGCCCAGAUUGAAAACGGAGCAGGUCAAAACUCCUUUGCUGAUCAGUAGUGGGAUCUCGCCUGUGAAUAACCAACACACUCCGGCCUGAGCAACAUAGUGAGACCCCGUCUCU
ensembl:misc_RNA Metazoa_SRP Metazoan signal recognition particle RNA